CUAGAUGUCAAGUUGUCCUUUGCAUGAGCCUCUGCUGGGAUACAAGGGCAGCCCUUCAGCAUCCCCUUCAUCCAAAGCCAGAGAUCUCUCCCUGAUUGAUUGAACAUCCUUCAGUUCUUUCCCUGUGUAGAACUGAAUCUUUAUCUUCUACUGAAAUUUUAUGUACACAAGGUCAGAAGAGGCUCCUUAAAGCUGAGAGCAAUGUAGCACCAUAAUUUCCAGGAAAUGAAACAGACCCUUUUGAGCUACAUGAAAGGUUAUCCAAAGAGAAUAAGUUCUGAAAUAGCCACAGGAAAAGCUUUAGAAUGCAGGUCUGAGGAACAGAGUGCAAAACAAGGGCAGGACAGCAGGCACACCCAGGAAAUUCUUGGUUACAUCUUCGGCAGUUUAGUCUCUCUCCAUGCCAGUUUCUUCUACUUAGAGAAAGAUGGGUUGGGAUACACCAUGGAGAUGGGUGCUGUCACAAGGCAUGACUUACAAAUCACUUUCUUCAUAACUGGGACUUUGUUUUUUUUUUCAUGUUUCUUUUUGUGUGGGGGGUUACAAGCUAGCAUUUAUAUGAGCUAAGUUGCACAUCUAUUUCUGGAGAACAUCUCUUUCUGGAAACAAAGGAAUCAAAUAUUAAACUUACAAAAAUGCUGAAAAUUAUGCUUUAGAGCAAAGAAUCACUUCACUUGGUUGAAAAAAAAAAUAACACCUCUUUUCAUGACCAUUACCAAAUACUGCUAAGGCAGUGCAGCACCAUGACAGGUUCAACAUCACACGUUCCUCCUAUCCAAUGACACCACAAUCAUUGCCCAAGAGGAAGGAGUGGUGAACUCAGAGCCCAAGUGAUGCUCCAUGAGACUCUUAUCCAAACCUGACUCUGCCACGGUGGAUGCAACACUGGAAAGGGCCAUGGGAAAGGAUAAAUGAUCACACAGCAGAGUGCAAAAAAAGGGAAGAGGAAAGCAAAAGGCAACAGGCUAAAGUGGCUGACCAACAACUACAGAUCUGCCACCAGAAAGUGGAGACACUGAAAAACAGAGUCCAGUCUCUGAAGUAGAAGAGAAAGAAGCCAAGUCUGACUAAUCAUCCAUCAUGUCUGUCAUUAUCCCUGCCUCGCUACUUGUAAAAUCCAGAGGAAUAUUUUAACCAACUAUUUUGUAAAUGUGUUUUUUAGUAGCUCUAGAAACAUUUUUAAGUGGUGGGGUGGAAAUCUCAUUUCAUUCCAUAUUUUAAGUAUAAAUGACUUUUUACGAAGUUAAAACACUUGACAGUUUUUGUUUUUUUUAAUACAAUCAGAAAAUAUGAGGAUAGUGAAUUAGGAGAGGAUGUGACUGUCUCAGGGGUCACCAUAACAUUCGGUAUUGGGGGCUAGUUUUAUA